rnacentral:rRNA from 1 species
CGUGAAACCCUGUCUGAACAUGGGGGGACCAUCCUCCAAGGCUAAAAUACUCGUAAUCGACCGAUAGUGAACUAGUACCGUGAGGGAAAGGCGAAAAGAACCCCGGGAGGGGAGUGAAAUAGAUCCUGAAACCGCAUGCAUACAAACAGUGGGAGCCUCGCAAGGGGUGACUGCGUACCUUUUGUAUAAUGGGUCAGCGACUUACGUUCAGUAGCAAGCUUAACCGAAUAGGGGAGGCGUAGCGAAAGCGAGUCUGAAAAGGGCGAUAUAGUUGCUGGACGUAGACCCGAAACCAGAUGAUCUACCCAUGGCCAGGAUGAAGGUGGGGUAACACCCACUGGAGGUCCGAACCCACUAGUGUUAGAAAAACUAGGGGAUGAGCUGUGGGUAGGGGGUGAAAGGCUAAAACAAAUCUGGAGAUAGCUGGUUCCUACCCCGAAAACUUAUUUAGGUAGUGCCUCAUAUGGACACGUUCCGGGGGUAGAGCACUGUAAUGGUUGAGGGGGUCGUUAGAUCUACCUCGCCA